ACUAGAAUCCUCUUCCUCUCUUGACCAAAAAAAAAAGGAAUCCUCUUCCUCCUCUUUUCUCACCCAGCAGCCGCCAAAACCAGUGAGACACUCAUCAGAUCAGACACAGCAAGUGAAACCUCGUCGUACGCAGUCGACAAUAGCAAUGACGAGAAUCGAAACCUACGAGGACCGUCAAAGUUCACGGUCUGCUUCUGGCGGCCUCGGGAUUGCCUCAGUCACUGCACCGCCAGCUGUUCCAGAAGCUUCUUUCGGAGAGCUUCGAUGACGGGUCCCACUUCCAAAUCGAACCCACCGAGGACGGCCGUCAGCGGCGUCUUGUUUUGACCUCCGAAUCCAUGCCCGAACACUCUGACGUCUUCCUUAUCGAUCACGCCUGGACUUUCCGCCUCUCCGAUGCUUACAAGCAGUUAAUGGAAGUUCCUGGGUUGGCUGAGAGGAUGGCGGCGAUAAUGUGUGUGGAUGCUGAUUUGAAUUCUGAUUCAGAAGAGGACCGUUUGAGUGAGGGCAAUGCAAAACGGAGCGUCUUGGAGGUACUGGAAAAUGAGAUUACUGAAGCCAACGGGAACGUGAGGUGGUUGGAGCUUGAGGACCUUGACAUCGAUGAUGAAACGCUGUCGUCCUUAGACUUGUCUACUAAGUGCCCAGGUUUGUUUGCAUUAUCCUUGUGUGGAAAUAAGCUUGAGAAUGUGGAAGUAGUUGUUCAGGAAGUUACCAAGUUCAAAAAUCUAAGAGCUCUAUGGCUGAACAAUAACCCAGUUGUACAAAAUUGUGGUGAUGAAUUGGCAGAUAAAGUUCUUCGAGAAUUGCUGAAUCUUGAAAUAUAUAACUCAAAGUUUACCUCCAAUUAUGGUGAGUGGGCAUUGGGGUUUUGUGGAGGAGUGUAUGAUAAGGAAAAUCCAGGGAGCGUUGAUCAGCCUGACAACAAAUUGAAGCAAGUCACUGAUCUUGAUUUGUCAAAUAGAUGUAUUCACAAUUUGUUCAAUAAGGCAUGUACCCCUCUUCAGCUUCCAUGUCUUUCAUACUUGAGUCUUCGGGGAAAUCCAUUGGAAGAGACCGCAGUGAGUGACUUGUUGCAGUUACUCAGGAAUUUUCCUUCUUUACAGUCCCUGGAGGUGGAUAUUCCUGGCCCUCUUGGAGAAAGUGCUGUACAAAUUCUUGAAUCUCUUCCUAAUCUUUCAGUACUAAAUGGCGUCAAUGCAUCAAAAAUAUUUGAAACUGAAAAGGAUGUGGUUGACUCAGUGCUUCAGCCACGUCUUCCUGAGUGGACUGCAGAUGAGCCACUUACUGAUCGUGUUAUAAAUGCAAUGUGGCUAUAUUUAAUGACAUAUCGACUUGCAGAUGAGGAGAAGAUCGACGAGACCUCUGUACUAUACGUGAUGGAUGAGCUGGGUUCAGCUUUGCGGCAUAGUGAUGAGCCAAAUUUCAGAGUGGCACCUUUUCUCUUCAUGCCAGAGGGGACAUUAGCAUCAGCUGUGAGGUUGUCAUUUUAUUUUAUUUUUUCCAUUUGCUUUUCUGCUUUUCUUACGAAUUUUCCUCGUCUUCUUAGAUGAACUCGGUAUCCAAUUUAUAAUUGUACUGUAGAAAUUUCAUUCUUGUUGUUUGUAUGGCAAAAUUGGCAAUUUGAAAGGUGGAUGCAGAAACCUGGGUUCUUUGGAGUAAU